rnacentral:snoRNA from 1 species
AGUUUGGAAGAUGAAGCAUGGUCGUUUGAUCUUAGCGUGAUUAACGGCUAAGGAUCCUUUGGGGUCCGUGAGUUGUAGAGGAUUGUUCUCAGCCACACGUGGCUAGGGUGGUCGCACGGUUGCCUGACAGAC